GGCCUACCAUGGUGGUAACGGGUAACGGGGUGUUAGGGCACGACACCGGAGAGGGAGCCUGAGAAACGGCUACCACAUCCAAGGAAGGCAGCAGGCGCGCAAAUUACCCAAUCCCGACACGGGGAGGUAGUGACAAUAAAUAACAAUACAGGGUUCUUUUGGAUCUUGUAAUUGGAAUGAGUACAAUUUAAAUCUCUUAACGAGAAACAAUUGGAGGGCAAGUCUGGUGCCAGCAGCCGCGGUAAUUCCAGCUCCAAUAGCGUAUAUUAAAGUUGUUGCAGUUAAAAGCUCGUAGUUGAAUUUCGGGAUCAAUAUUUCGGUCAUGCCGUUGGUAUGCACUGUUAUCAUUGAUUUCUCACCUUCUAAAGAACCGUAAUGCCAUUAAUUUGGUGUUACGGGGAAUUAGGACUGUUACCUUGAAAAAAUUAGAGUGUUUAAAGCAGGCUCACGCUUGAAUACAUUAGCAUGGAAUAAUGAAAUAGGACAUCCGAUUCUAUUUUGUUGGUUUCUAGGAUCGAUGUAAUGAUUAAUAGGGAUAGUUGGGGGCAUUAGUAUUCAAUUGUCAGAGGUGAAAUUCUUGGAUUUAUUGAAGACUAACUACUGCGAAAGCAUUUGCCAAGGAUGUUUUCAUUAAUCAAGAACGAAAGUUAGGGGAUCGAAGACGAUCAGAUACCGUCGUAGUCUUAACCAUAAACUAUGCCGACUAGGGAUCGGAUGAUGUUAAUUUUUUAAUGACUCAUUCGGCGCCUUACG
rnacentral:rRNA from 1 species